CUCUAUCGAACUAGGAACCAAUUAAUUGAAAUCAGAAUAUUAUGGCAAAAGCUAUUCAUCUAAGUUUCUUCUCUCCUUUUCUCCUCGGCUUUCUCUUGGUUUUGUGUGUUUCAAAUUUAACGUACGUCCGUGCUAAAUCGUGCUGGGCUGUUGGAUCUGUUGAUCUUGGUGUGGAUCCAGUGUUAGGUGACGGAGCCUUCAUUUUUUGUGAUGAUGGAUGUAAGGAUAUAGACCCGAAUUAUGAAUACUAUGACACCUCGUUUAAUGAAGAAACUGGUCAACGGGGAUGCAUAUGUUGCUACUGGAGAUAAACAGCAACCAACUCCAAUAGAAUUGUCAUGAGCCAAACGUGGACAUGGUACCAAAGAAACUAUCUUCCUUUAUCGUUUCUUUGUAAUAAGUUUCGUAAACAAGUUGUUGGUUUAAUUAAUUAUCAGUUGACACUGAUAUAUGCCACCUUGAUCUAUAUAAUCUAUUGCUGAUCUUUGUCUUUGUUCUUGUAAUUUCAUCUGUAUUUCGUCUGUGUAUCAAGCUUUGUUCUCAAACGUUGAUCAUUAUGUUCUUAUAUCAAGUUUGUUUCCGGGUGGUGUUUGUUUGUA